GGGUUUAGGGUUAAUUUUUUAGGUUUUAGGAUUUAGAGUUUACUUUUAAGGUUUAGGGUUUAGUGUUGAUAGUUUAGGGUUUAGUGUUGAUGGUUUAGGGUUUAGAUUUGAAGCUUAGGGUUUAGGGUUUAGAGUUGAUGUUUUUGGGUUUAGAGUUGAAGGUUUAGGGUUUAGGGUUUAGAGAUGAUGUUUCGGGGUUUAGGGUUUAGAGUUGAUGUUUCAGGAUUUAGGGUUCGUAUUUCAAAAAUAAUAGGGUUUAGGAUUGAUGGUUUAGGGUUUAGGGUUCGUAUUUCAAAAAAAAAUAGGGUUUAUGAUUGAUGGUUUAGAGUUUAGGGUUUGAAUUUCGAAAUAGUAUAAUUCGAAAAAAAUUAAAAAAAU
rnacentral:lncRNA from 1 species